GGGUGUGGCAUGCGGAAGAAAGAGAAGGAAGAAAAUAAUAAUAAUAAUAAUAAAUAUUAAAAAAUAAUAAUUUUUUAUAUAAUAAUUUUUAUCAUUAAAUAAAAUAAAUAAAUAAUUUAAAAUACUAAACUAAUAAUUUGAUUUAAGGAUAUUUUAAAAAUUUGACGUUACAUUAUCAGUAAAUUGAUUAUCUUAUCAAAUAUGUC
rnacentral:lncRNA from 1 species